rnacentral:rRNA from 1 species
CCUACGGGUGGCAGCAGUGGGGAAUAUUGCACAAUGGGGGAAACCCUUAUGCAGCGACGCCGCGUGAGGGAAGAAGGUUUUCGGAUUGUAAACCUCUGUCAGUAGGGACGAUAAUGACGGUACCUACCGAAGAAGCCCCGGCUAACUACGUGCCAGCAGCCGCGGUAAUACGUAGGUGGCAAGCGUUGUCCGGAAUGACUGGGUGUAAAGGGAGCGUAGGCGGGAUGGCAAGUCAGAAGUGAAAUCCCGGGGCUCAACCCCGAAACUGCUUUGGAAACUGUUAUUCUUGAGUAUAGGAGAGGCAGGCGGAAUUCCUGGUGUAGCGGUGAAAUGCGUAGAGAUCAGGAGGAACACCAGUGGCGAAGGCGGCCUGCUGGACUUUAACUGACGCUGAGGCUCGAAAGCGUGGGGAGCAAACAGGAUUAGAUACCCUGGUAGUC